UGCGACAGUGUGAUGACAGGUGAUUGUCAUUAACUGCACUCACGUGCUGCGGUGUCUCCGUCCAAGGUAUUGAUUUACACGCACCCGCCAGGCUGGACGAACUGAUACACACGGCCAACAGGCGCACGCGCCCUGUUCCAGACCGAUGCCCAGCCAACACACACCGGUCAAAUCAACCGAGUUGUGCCGUGGUGUCGCUUGAUUGGUGGCAGAGGACCAUCGUUUGGUGAAGGAAGCUGUGAAGAAACGCAGCCACGUUAGCUGCUGCCCACCACUAGAAGCGCUGCACGCUGACAGAAGAUCAUCACGGUAACCACGGGCGUGACGUGUUGUCACGGCGGCUGCAAAGGCGGGAGCAGGAGUGACGUUGCAGGAGCACGUGGUGGCCGGUCUGCUAACACUGCGCUGCCACUACCGUCCGUCUCCUCCACAAAUCACAGCUACUGUACUGCACUGAUGAUAUGUAACACAUGUGUGCUAUGUGCUCUACUGCUCGUCCAUCCAUCCGUCCAUCCAUGCAGCCAGGCUCCAUGUCUGACAUUGACUCACUGAUCACCCGACAGGCAAAAUAUCCCACGGACGUGCCAGCAAAAGUAGUACGCACAGACAUUCCUUCUGCUCCUCGUCCUGAAAUGUGCAUUCGCUGUGAAAGAGAGAACUCGGCGGACUGAGCAUUAGACGUCAAUUCAAUGUUUGAAUCCGGCUGUCUUCUGUGAUUUGGCUCACACGAAGAGUAGAUUUUCACGUGGUGCUUUUCCAGAAAAAACACAUCCGGUAUAUAAUUAAAUCAUAGAUCUGGACUAAAAUGCUUUAAUACUUCAUAUUUCCUUUUAAAAGUCAGUGUGGAAAACCCAAAACAUUAAGACAAGUCAAUGUUAAAUUCCUGAGGUAACACAGAAAAAAACGAGUGCCCUUUACAUCUGUAUCCAAUAUUCACUCUACUGUGCAGUAUGUAAAAGCUGUAAAAGUUAUGUCCUCCCUGUUGAUUGAAAUGGUCUCGUUACAGCGGCGUGACUCUUCAAAGUUAGAUUUUAUGACGUUAAUGUGUGCCCCCGCAUAACUCUCAUUGGUCUGAAACUGUGUGUGUGUGUGUGUUUUGACUCUGACUCCGCUUCUGUGCAGGGAUCUGUGUUUGUGUUCAGUGAAGUCUGUAUAAUUAGGAGCAAAGGCAUCUGUAUUAACAUGCUGCUGCCAGUCUGCAUCACUAUGCUGCCAGAGGAGUUACAGCAACAGCAGGGGCCAACAAAAAAAAAGAAACCCAAAGUGUGCGUGUUGUUUUGGUGAUAUGAGUCAAGAACCGGGACAACUAAGAUCCAAGAGGAAGAGGAAGGUGGAGAUGAAGAGGAGGGAGCAGUGAUGGCAACGACGGUGAUGGCGACCAAAUGGCGUCAGUUAGGCAGUAACUGUAAGAGUAACGAAGGAGAGACAGAGGUCAAUUAUCCAAUAAUCAUUAUCUUCCCAACCACAGGGUUCAUAAAUCAAAAGCCAAUGAAGGUCUUCUUAUUUCGCCAUGUGUUAGCCACCAAACCCAUUGCACUCUUUACCCCAGUCCAGGCAGAAAUCCAUCACCACGUGAUGAGUCUCGAGCGGGGGAGCUGAUUUGCAAGGGACAGAAAUAGACACUCAGCAACAUUACUAAGAAUUUGAGACGUGGAAUCCGGCACGAUAUAAAUCAGUCGUCAGCUGAUCAUCCCGAUCAGUGGACUGGCCUUGCAAUCAGCUUUAAAAAAAACGAAAAGAAGGAAAGCCUACCAUUACUGAAAGGCACAGCACGGAGCUGCUGAGACCCGGUCAGACAGGCUCGGGAGGAGCAAUAGUUGAGAAGGAGCGGCACCGAGUGGCGACGUGUGCAAAUUGUUUUAACAGUAUUUAAAAGCAGCACAUGUAAUGAGAUCUGCUGUUUUGUUAGAUUACAUUCUGUGGUUGGACAUCGUUUCUUGGUGCCGAAAAUUCUAAAAUCCCCAAAGUUUACAGAAAACGUUGCAGCAUCAAACACAUGAAGUCCAGCUAAACACCUGCAAACUAGUGGCAGAACGUGUAAAAAAAAUUUUAUUGAUAGAGAGUGGACGGGGAAGCUGCUCUCUAAACCACUAUUAAAAUAACUUUUUUGCCCACACUUUUUAAACUUUAAUCACUUUAAUAAAGACCUAUUCGGAUUUAUAUUUCCCAAGAUUGAGUAAGUUGCUGAACAAACAUAGUACCAGUACAAAUUAAUGCAAUUCACAAAUUUACAAGUUCAAGCCUGUAAAAUUUCAGGUGUGUCGACUAAACAAAAGUGAAAUGAUUUUAGCUGGAAUAAGAAUUUUUACCAAUGAACCUUUGGAUCAAUACAGAGAAAUCUCACAGCAUGGCUUCCAUUGGCUAGAUGCAUACUUUAAUCGAGGUUGUACGUCAUGGACAUUAAUGAUGUAAAAGCGAGCUCACCCAAAAAAUGUACUUUUCCCUGGUGACUUGAGGGUUAGGAGUGUUGAUAGCAGGAUUGAGUAAAUACAUCAAUUGUUUUGAGGGAGAGGCCAUCAUUUCUAUUAACUGUCCAAACAAAUUACCAGCUUAAAGCAAUAAUAAUUAAAUUACAGUACUGCUUAUUUAAAACAAUCACCAUGUUCUAUAUCUCACUCAAAUAGAUCACAAUUGCUUCUAUGUGUGCGCCGCCUUCCAACCAUAUACCAUAAGGUCCCAUUAUACCAAUCUUUUUUUGUCUUGUCCCUUCUUCCUCAUAUUCUUCUUCUCCAAUGUCAACACCAAGCUCACAUGGAAAUGAUUGAGGUUUCCUCUUGCACAGCUACUGGGUCUGGGCUAAACUCAAGCAGCAUACUCAAGUAAAACAUUGAGCACUAACUGUGGGGACCUGAGAGUGGCGCUAAAGACCUUUACAAGAACGAUCUGCGGAGGGGUCAGUGUAUCAGAUGCAAUUCCUUCUCCAUGUUGACAUGAUUUACUUUUAUUGACUUUAGUUUGACCGCAGUUCCAGUUAAAAUAGGACCUUUAAGAUGCCGGUUGACUCGCUUGUUGACUUGUAUGCUUUUCUUUGACUA
ensembl:lncRNA